UGAGCAUCUCCUGCGUCUUUGGUCCUUUUGGAAUAAUUCAUGGGAUUGAACGUCAUUCAGAUGUGGUGGAGUAUGCCAAGGAAAAAACUGGAGAGCUUCAUCAAAAAUAGUGAUAGCUUUUAUAAAUUUGAAUUCUGUGAACCCGCACUUGUGGUGGAUAAUUGCCUUCAGAUAGCUUCUGACAAUCAUCAGUAUGAUCGAAUUUACUGUGGAGCUGGAGUCCAGAAAGAUCAUGAAAACUACAUGAAGAUCUUACUCAAAGUUGGGGGCAUAUUGGUCAUGCCUAUAGAGGAUCAGUUGACACAGAUUAUGCGGACUGGACAAAACUCUUGGGAAAGUAAAAAUAUCCUUUGCUGUUUCUUUUGCACCACUAGUACAACCUAGUAAGAAUGAUGAGGGCACACCGGCUCUGUGGGGUUCCCCUCCGUGUGCUGUCAGGAAUCUCCAAGAAUUGGCUCCUAUUCACAUUCGGUGCGCACUUAGAUGAGGUGCAGGCCAAGGGGAUUCCACAAAGGGCUCCACCCAAGAGGAAAAGAAAGAGAGUUAAUCAGAGAAUUAACACGCAUUUGUGGGUAAUCAGCUUAUCCCUCAGCCUCUAGAUAGUGAAGAGGAUGAAAAAAUGGAAGAAGACAGCAAAGAAGAAGAGGAGAAAAUCACAGCGAAGCCCUGAAGCGCGAGGAGCCACCUCAGAACCUACUGAGGGAAAAGAUAAUGAAAUUGCUACUCCAGAGUCUUUAAAGGCUUACUUGACAUAUUUUAGAAACAAAUAA